GCAUAACGCGAAGAACCUUACCAAGGCUUGACAUCCCCUUGACCGGCACAGAGAUGUGCCCUCUCCUUCGGGAGCAAGGGUGACAGGUGGUGCAUGGUUGUCGUCAGCUCGUGUCGUGAGAUGUUGGGUUAAGUCCCGCAACGAGCGCAACCCUUAUCCUUAGUUGCCAGCAGGUAAAGCUGGGCACUCUAAGGAGACUGCCGAUGAUAAAUCGGAGGAAGGUGGGGAUGACGUCAAAUCAUCAUGCCCCUUAUGUCUUGGGCUACACACGUGCUACAAUGGUCGGUACAAAGGGGAGCGAAAGAGUGAUCUGGAGCAAAUCCCAAUAAACCGAUCUCAGUUCGGAUUGUAGGCUGCAACUCGCCUACAUGAAGUCGGAGUUGCUAGUAAUCGCGAAUCAGAACGUCGCGGUGAAUGCGUUCCCGGGUCUUGUACACACCG
rnacentral:rRNA from 1 species